rnacentral:rRNA from 1 species
UACGGGGGGAGCAAGCGUUGUUCGGAUUUACUGGGCGUAAAGGGCGCGUAGGCGGCGUGGUAAGUCACUUGUGAAAUCUCCGGGCUUAACUCGGAACGGUCAAGUGAUACUGCUGUGCUAGAGUGCGGAAGGGGCAACUGGAAUUCUCGGUGUAGCGGCGAAAUGCGUAGAUAUCGAGAGGAACACCUGCGGCGAAGGCGGGUUGCUGGGCCGACACUGACGCUGAGGAGCGAAAGCGUGGGGAGCAAACAGG